AUUUUUGCGCUUGGAGCAAUGACGCAGCUAAUAAGGUUCUAACCGAGGCACGUCUAUUGCUGGUUGAAAACUAUUUCCAAAUCCCCUCUUAGGCUUGGGUUUGUUAGAGUAUGUAGCCAAAUAAUUAUG